rnacentral:rRNA from 1 species
UACAGAGGGUGCGAGCGUUAAUCGGAAUUACUGGGCGUAAAGCGCGCGUAGGCGGCUUUGCAAGUCGGGUGUGAAAUCCCCAGGCUUAACCUGGGAACUGCAUUCGAGACUGCAUUGCUAGAGUAUGGGAGAGGGAAGUGGAAUUUCCGGUGUAGCGGUGAAAUGCGUAGAUAUCGGAAGGAACAUCAGUGGCGAAAGCGGCGAUCUGGACGAUGACUGACGCUGAGACGCGAAAGCGUGGGGAGCAAACAGG